rnacentral:rRNA from 1 species
UACGAAGGGGGCUAGCGUUGCUCGGAAUUACUGGGCGUAAAGGGCGCGUAGGCGGUUUGGACAGUCAGAUGUGAAAUUCCUGGGCUCAACCUGGGGACUGCGCUUGAUACGGCAGAGCUUGAGGAUGGAAGAGGGUCGCGGAAUUCCUGGUGUAGCGGUGAAAUGCGCAGAUAUCAGGAGGAACACCAAUGGCGAAGGCAGCUCGCUGGGACGGUACUGACGCUGAGACGCGAAAGCGUGGGGAGCAAACAGG